rnacentral:rRNA from 1 species
AACUUUGGACAAGGGGCGAAAGCCUGUCACAGUCAUGCAGUGAGUGUGAAUAAGGUCUUCGGAUUAUAAAGCACUUUUCGUUGGGAGGAAGGGCAGUAAGUUAAUAGCUUGCUGUUUUGACUUUACCGACAGAAUAAGCACUGACUAACUCCGAGACAUCAGCCGCGGUAAUACGAAUGGUGCAAGCGUUAAUCGGAAUUACUGGGCGUAAAGGGCGCGUAGGUGGUUUGUUAAGUUGGAAGUGAAAGCCCCGGGCUCAACCUGGGAACUGCUUUCAAAACUGGCAAGCUAGAGUAUGGCAGAGGGUGGUGGAAUUUCCUGUGUAGCGGUGAAAUGCGUAGAUAUAGGAAGGAACACCAGUGGCGAAGGCGACCACCUGGGCUAAUACUGACACUGAGGUGCGAAAGCGUGGGGAGCAAACA